GGAAGAUGGCCGCACGCCAGCACGGCCGCGUCCUGCCGCCCUUCCACAGGGACACGGGGGUGGGCUCGGGGCCGGGCCGGGGACUGCAGCGGGCAUCACCGGGAGGUUUGUUUGUGUUGUGUAACCAGGGCUCGGCACGCGCGUUGGGUAACGCCGCCGACAUUUCACCUACUUUCAAGCCACUGCUGCGACGAAUCCGUUUGGCCCCAAGUUGUUUUCGCCUCCAAGGAAAGUACGUUUGCACGGCGGAGCCUCCCCACCCUCUCGCCGUAAUUCCCCGGGGCGGACGAGGAGGGAGACGGGGAUUAAAGAGUCGCAGGCUGUGCUCCAAAAGCCACCUUCUUUACCGACUUCUGGAAUGGGAGCGCUCCUGCUGGACCCAUCAGCUUAGUCCAAUUAUUCUGUUGCCUUGUUUCUGAAACUGGCUCCAAUGGAUGCUUAUGGGGAAGAGGAACAUGCUGCUGAAAGCAGAUGGGAGUCUUCUAGCCUUCAGAAAGUACUGUUCAACACAGCCAGGGAAUUGAAGACCUGAAGCCAAGUCUGUGAGCAAAACUCUACUCAGUAGCAAUAUGAUUUUAAACUCCCAGCACCUGAGCCUGGAAGGUUGCCGUUCUGCUCCAGUCCCAGAGAACAAACUAGACCAGCCUUUUUCCACUGCAAACGCCAUUAAGAUACCACCAUUUCCUUUUUGCAAAAAAGCAACCUGAACUGUAUCAAUGAGCAGCCUGGUGUCCAGCAGAGAAGUGUGACUCAUUCUUUCUUUGUCACAGUCACAAAAGCCACGACAAGACAGGGUGCCUCUGAUGGCAGGGGACAGGAGAGGGUGACCCUGAAGGUCAUCCUAUAUAAGCCUUUCUUCAGUCCUGUGUCCUUUGCCCAGCAAAACAGAGAGGAACAGUGUUUUCAGCAUUGAGAUAAAGGCUCAGGAGACUUGAAUUUGUCCCUAAAUUGCCACAGACUGUGUACAGCUGAGUUUCUCUUCUAUUACUUUACCUGUAAUACACAGACAGUAAGAUGCCUUAAACACAAUGAAGCCAUAGGAUUCACUGAAUAAUAAUGGUUAUCUCAGGAACAAAAUAUACAUCUCUAAUUAACUGAAAGGAUCAUUCCUUAUUACCUCCAGCCUUUGUAAAGUGCCUUGACUGCUCUGAACGAAACAUACGAUCUGCAGUUAGCAGUACACAUUAUUAAAUUAGUAAUUCAUUCUAUUACUCUAUAUGUCAGCAUACUUAUAAUGUGCCGGUCACUUUGGUUUCCACAUGAGGAAUGCACGGUAUUGAACACUAAUUAAUGAAAUCAAAUCCUUUGCACUACAUUCUUCUAAUUAGAAAUGCUACAGAUGAGUUUGAAAAUGAGAUUGUUAACAAAACAGCAUAUGGCUUGCCUUGUUCACAAGCUUUUCAAAGCUGCAGUUGGCGAUAUAGUUUGGGAUCCCCAAGACAAAAGAUGUUACAUAAAUAUCAAUUCAAAAGUAUUUCAGCAGUUUCUCUUGCCAAGAGCCCCAAGGCCUGCUGCAUACUUAGCACAGUUGUUUAUUUAUUACUUUUACUAUUUUUAUUGUGACUG
rnacentral:lncRNA from 1 species